CGAAAGCCUGACGGAGCAAUACCGCGUGAGGGAGGAAGGCUUUUGGGUUGUAAACCUCUUUUCUCAAGGAAGAAGUUCUGACGGUACUUGAGGAAUCAGCAUCGGCUAACUCCGUGCCAGCAGCCGCGGUAAUACGGAGGAUGCAAGCGUUAUCCGGAAUUAUUGGGCGUAAAGCGUCCGCAGGCGGCCGAUCAAGUCUGCUGUUAAAGCGUGGAGCUUAACUCCAUAAUGGCAGUGGAAACUGAUUGGCUGGAGUGUGGUAGGGGCAGAGGGAAUUCCCGGUGUAGCGGUGAAAUGCGUAGAUAUCGGGAAGAGCACCAGUGGCGAAGGCGCUCUGCUGGGCCAUAACUGACACUCAGGGACGAAAGCUAGGGGAGCG
rnacentral:rRNA from 1 species